UACGUAGGGGGCAAGCGUUGUCCGGAUUUAUUGGGCGUAAAGAGCGUGUAGGCGGCCAUACAGGUCCGUUGUGAAAACUCGAGGCUUAACCUCGAGACGUCGAUGGAAACCGUAUGGCUAGAGUCCGGAAGAGGAGAGUGGAAUUCCUGGUGUAGCGGUGAAAUGCGCAGAUAUCAGGAAGAACACCCGUGGCGAAGGCAGCUCGCUGGGACGUGACUGACGCUGAGACGCGAAAGCGUGGGGAGCAAACAGG
rnacentral:rRNA from 1 species